CCCGUCACACCAUGGGAGUGGGCUGCAAAAGAAGUAGGUAGUUUAACCUUCGGGGGGACGCUUACCACUUUGUGGUUCAUGACUGGGGUGAAGUCGUAACAAGGUAGCGCUAGGGGAACCUGGCGCUGGAUCACCUCCUUAAACGAUGAU
rnacentral:rRNA from 1 species